ACGGAGGGGGCUAGCGUUGUUCGGAAUUACUGGGCGUAAAGCGCGCGUAGGCGGCUCUGUAAGUUAGAGGUGAAAGCCCGGAGCUCAACUCCGGAACUGCCUUUAAGACUGCAUCGCUAGAAUCGUGGAGAGGUGAGUGGAAUUCCCAGUGUAGCGGUGAAAUGCGUAGAUAUUGGGAGGAACACCAGUGGCGAAGGCGGCUCACUGGACCCGUACUGACGCUGAUGCGCGAAAGCGUGGGGAGCAAACGGGA
rnacentral:rRNA from 1 species